UAAAAGGGGCAAAAGGAAAAAAUGUUUUUAAUUAAAACAAAUAAACACCAAAACACACACACAUGUGUGUGUUUGGUCGACGUAUACACAGAGCCAGGAGAAGGGUUCUUUUCAAAACCCUAAACUCACUAAAAUCCAUCAAAAUCUAAGGGAAAUCGAGUUGGAAAUUAGGGCUUUAACUAAAUUCAUGAUCAACCAUGCUAGGAGAUCACAAGUUGACUCUAAACAAGCUAGGUGGGAGCUUGGAAAGGAACGGGUCAAACGGAUCAUGGAUGCGAAGAAUGUUUGCGCGAACGCGAGGUAAGUAAAGCUUACGCCCAAUUGUAGUAAACGUAUGUAUUUUAUAGAUGAUAAAUGUGACAACCGAUUACAUUCGAAAUUGAAGUUCCGACACUAAGCGAUGUGAGUCGGAACGAAUAAAAAUGAUCAAAACCAUGGUUAAUGGUAAAAUGGACAAAAGGGUAAUUUAGUCGUGAAUCGACUAAGAAUUUAUAAGAUUUCUUUAAGGUUACCUUAUAGCGAAACUUGAAAUGGGUCGGAUGUGUGAAGGGGAUAUUAAAAGUCAUGUUUUGACAUAAGUAUAAAUGUUUGGUCAUAAAUACCAAAUGGGUCAAAUGGUGGUGAUGACACCAUUUGACAAUAUCGACUAAUGUUUGGUUGUUAAGUUAAAUGUUCACAGGAGUGAACGGGAAGUGGAUUAUUGCGUUGCUAUAAAGUAGCGGCUAAUAAAAGAAAGGUACAAAACGGGUCUAUAUGUUGACUCGAGCCAGGUACGCAUUAAUUAGAUCAUGGCGAUAUGCGUAGUUGUAUUUUAAAAUAUAAGUUACUAUGAAAUAUAGCGAUGAUAUCGCCACAUUGAAUAUUUGGUCAAAAGAUGGUUAGAACUCGUUGGUAGUCGUCAAAAAGGAAGGAAUUCCGUAGACGAGCCAAACGGGUCGAAUAAUCAAGUAAGGCAUGGUUAUUGUUUCGGAUUAUGAUGGUUUGAUGGUUGAUUUUGAAUAUUUUAUAACAUAUUAGAAAUAUGAGGUUUUAAUGAAUUAGUAUCAUAGAAAACUGAAAACCGAGAGUCGGGUCUUGGAGUAAUGAUCAAACAAAACAAAACCUGACAUUCCAGGUACUACCGUAAAUUACGGUAGAACCGUAAUUUACGGUGGUUGUGAUAUGGUUUACGGAGCAGAUCUCCUGGUUUACGGUGACCAGACAUUUCCAGGUCUCACCGUAAAUUACGGUGAUACCGUAAUUUACGGUGGAUUCAGAAUCACUUUUUAUAUUUUUGUUAUUUCUAAUGUGGCAUUAAGCCUUGGGAUUAUGUUAUUAUAUAACAACGUCAAAACUAAUGAUUUUAACGGUUUUGAUCAUAGGUGAAUGCCAAGAGUGCCCGGAUGAAGAUCAAGCUCGAUGAGGAACCGAACACAAUAAAAUCUAACACUCGGGAUUAAAGCUUCCGCACGGCGUUACGCCAUAUCUUUUAAACGACGAACUUAUUUAUAUUACGU
rnacentral:lncRNA from 1 species